rnacentral:rRNA from 1 species
AUUGAACGCUGGCGGCAUGCUUUACACAUGCAAGUCGAACGGCAGCACGGGUGCUUGCACCUGGUGGCGAGUGGCGGACGGGUGAGUAAUACAUCGGAACGUAUCCAGAAGAGGGGGGAUAACGCAUCGAAAGAUGUGCUAAUACCGCAUAUUCUCUGAGGAGGAAAGCAGGGGAUCGAAAGACCUUGCGCUUUGGGAGCGGCCGAUGUCUGAUUAGCUAGUUGGUGGGGUAAAGGCCUACCAAGGCGACGAUCAGUAGUUGGUCUGAGAGGACGACCAGCCACACUGGGACUGAGACACGGCCCAGACUCCUACGGGAGGCAGCAGUGGGGAAUUUUGGACAAUGGGCGCAAGCCUGAUCCAGCAAUGCCGCGUGAGUGAAGAAGGCCUCGG